AGCAGCCGCGGUAAUUCCAGCUCCAAUAGCGUAUAUUAAAGUUGUUGCAGUUAAAAAGCUCGUAGUUGAAUUUCGGAAUCAAGGUGCCAGUCAUGCCUUUGGUAUGCACUGACAUCAUUGAUUUCUCCCUUCUGACGAACCAUGAUGUCAUUAAUUUGGUGUCAUGGGGAAUCAGGACUGUUACUUUGAAAAAAUUAGAGUGUUUAAAGCAGGCAA
rnacentral:rRNA from 1 species